UACAGGCAUGAGCCACCACACCCAGCUUCAAUGUGAUGCUUGAAACAUAUUUAUUCUAUUCUCCUGAUGCUAUGACAGGAGAGAAAUUGUAUUAUUACUUCUACUACCUGGGGAAAAAUAGCUGAUUAGCUAGUUUUGACUUUAAGACUAUUCUCAAAUCAUUCUCCUAGAACAUUUCUUCGCCUUAUUUUCAGUGACAGAGAAAUAACACCAUCACAUGCUUUCCAUUAUCGUUAAUGACUCUUCUGAUGAUUUGAUGCCUGAUGCCUUUAAUUUUUAUUUUCAAAAAGACAUCUACUACUGACACUAAGCCUCUUUGUUGUUCACUAUAAAUUUCCUUUGAGACAUGUGUUUUUGUUUAAAGAGGCAUAAAUAAAUAAUCAAUAAAUCAAAGUUCAUAGUACAGUUAAAGUGGACUGAAGUCAAAUUACCUUUAUGCUUCCAACAGAGCAAUAUAAUAAGUGAAUAUAGAAUAUUUACUGUAUAAUGCCAUAUCAAUAAUUAAAAACCUGUUUAAGAAUAAAAAAUAUAAAAUGGA